AUGGACGAAACCCUAGCCGCCGAAGCCGGUGCCGCCGCCGCGACGGAGGUGAAGGCGGUCCCGGAGCGGGAGCCGGAGACGCUUGAGGAGGUCAUCUCGAGGCAUAGGAAGGAGAAAUCCAAACUCCAGGAUAAGGAAACAAGUCUGAAGAAAGCAGCUGCCAAAGGCAGCAAAGCUGAGCAGAAGGCCAAGAAAAAGCAGGUCGAGGAAGAGAUAUCGCGCCUCUCAGCUGCAUUAGAGGCGAAACAUGCUGCAGAGCUUGCUUCUUUUGGGUACAAACCUGCAGAAAGCUCUGAAAAGGGGAACCUCGACACCUUAGUGAAGGCCAUAGCUGGCGUUUCUGUUUCUAGCAAUGCAGAUUCUGCGAAGCCGGGGAAGGCUGCAAAACGGCGAGAGAAGAAGGCAAAGGAAGAAGCUGCUCGAGAGCAGCGAAUUCAAGAAGAACAAACCAAUAUUGUCAGUGAUCGCAUGUUAGAAGACGAGAAACUUGGAAGGAGGCUUGAGCCCUUGGGGCUGACCAUUCAUGAGAUAAAGCCAGACGGCCAUUGCUUGUACCGUGCUAUCGAGAACCAGCUGUCACUCCAUUCCAAGGGCACUACACAGUACAAUCACCAGGAGCUGCGGCAAAUGACAGCCAAGUAUAUGAGAGAGCAUGCCGCAGAUUUCCUCCCAUUUUUCCUAUCGGAGGGCAAAGCCGAGUCUGGGCCAGACCCCUCGGAGAGUUUCGAAAAGUACUGCGAGGAGAUGGAGUCCACCGCUGCUUGGGGCGGGCAACUCGAGCUUGGUGCUCUGACGCACUGCCUAAAGAAGCACAUUGUCAUAUACUCUGGCUCCUUUCCAGAUGUAGAAAUGGGCAAAGAAUACAACAAGUCAGGACCAGGAGGUGACCCUAGCAUCAGGCUUUCCUACCACAGGCAUGCCUAUGGCCUCGGCGAGCACUACAACUCAGUGAUCCCCACUGAGUUAUCUUGA
rnacentral:rRNA from 1 species